ACGACAUGUAUCGAUCAAUCGGGAUUAUUUUCGUCAUUCGUAAACAUCUUUGACCUUUGACCGCCGACUUGACCUUGAAUUUGACCCAUUUGUGAAAACUAUGUGCAGAAAUAGACUCCCUGUCAUGGAAAAUCUGUCAAAAAUGGUGCAAAACGACCUUCUAAUCCAUCGAUAGAAGGAAAAAAGUUGAAUUUGGACAAAAAUUCAAGAUGGCGGUGGCCACCGUCUUGAGUUUUGCGCUAAGCUCAGAUACCCAAGUGGUUACUAAGCCAAUUUGGAUCUCCAAGCUACAGGGAACAUAUUUCCGUGAAAAAGUCCGCGGUAGUGCACAUUGCAGGGUGUCAUCAAGGAAGCAUCAAAAUGGCAACUCGACUAUUAACACCAUUCAACAUCAUAAUUCAGCGAGGUGACUAACGCAACGCUUGAUCACAAUCGGUCGGUACGUCCCAUGUACUUACAUUCUGAAUGUGUUGCGUGGGCUAUGUCGGCAUUGUCCUCUACGCCGUUCCCUGUGUGACUAAGCAGUAAUGGCACGUUCGUAAACAAAGGUUAUGGCUGAUGAUAUCACCUUGUUCUUGGAAAUGUCGCCGGACAUGAAAGGCUCGUUUGUUGACCUUUGGAGGGGACGGGAUGAUUGACACUCUUUCCGCUUCAUGGUCCGUUUUUGCCGGUAUAAAAAGCGACCAAAGGAAACAUGGGCAUAUCCUGUUGAGUCGUCUCUCACCAACAAUGCGUCUGCUGCCAUUGAUUGCCGUGCUUUGUCUGGUGUUGGUGACCACUGAAGGUGGAAGGUGUCGCAAAUUCGGCAAGGCGUGUGGAAUAGGGAACAGGGAUGUGUGCCGCUGGUGUUGGAGGCCUCACAAGCGUCUCUGCUGUCUUCCGGGCGACACAUACGGUGAGUGCGGGAGAAAAUGCAGUUUCCCAAAUACCUGCAGCACACUAAACGGCGAUUGUCACAAAGGAUGGUGCUGCGUAUACUGCAAAGGAAAACAUUGC